rnacentral:lncRNA from 1 species
GAGAGCGCUCUGGAAUGGGACUUGAAGGCGGCGGCUUAGGAUACGGCGUUGGCGCGGGCUUCUUGGUCGCGUCCCGGGAGCGGUGCCCAAGGAGCUCUGCGGUCCUCUGUGGGGCGAGGCGGCGGACAACGGAGACGGAUCCUCACGGCUGCGCCCCUGCUUCACUUCCCCGGUGCUGGUGGCGGUGGCUGCAGAGAGUUCCUGUGAGAAUAAGCGGGCAGAUCUGGUGUUCAUCAUUGACAGCUCCCGAAGUGUCAACACCCAUGACUAUGCAAAGGUCAAGGAGUUCAUUCUGGAUAUCCUGCAGUUCUUGGAUAUUGGUCCUGACAUUACCCGAGUAGGUCUGCUCCAAUAUGGCAGCACAGUCAAGAAUGAGUUCUCCCUGAAGACCUUU